CCCUUAGAUGUUCUGGGCCGCACGCGCGCUACAAUGAUGAAUUCAACGAGUUUAUAACCUUGGUUGAAAAGCCUGGGUAAUCUUUUGAACUUUCGUCGUGAUGGGGCUAGACCCUUGCAAUUAUUGGUCUCCAACGAGGAAUUCCUAGUAAACGCAAGUCAUCAGCUUGCAUUGAUUACGUCCCUGCCCUUUGUACACACCGCCCGUCGCACCUACCGAUUGAAUGGCCCGGUGAAAUCUUCGGAUUGAGACUUUGAUUUCUUCACGGAAAACGCUGUUUUAAGAAGUUGAUUAAACCUUACCAUUUAGAGGAAGGUGAAGUCGUAACA
rnacentral:rRNA from 1 species